GACGAACGCUGGCGGCGUGCUUAACACAUGCAAGUCGAGCGGAGCGGCGCACGGGUGAGUAACGCGUGAGUAACUGCCCCCCUCUCUGGGCUAACAGUUGGAAACGGCUUCUAAUACCGGAUAGUGGGGGAUGACUCGCGUCCUAUCAGCUUGUUGGUGGGGUAGUGGCAUACCACGGCGACGACGGGUAGCAGGCCUGAGAGGGGGACCGGCCACAUUGUGCUGAGAUACGGCCAAAAAUCCUACGGGAGGCAGCAGUGGGGAAUAUUGAACAAUGGUGGAAACACUGAUGCAGCAACGCCGCGUGCGUGAUGACGGCCUUCGGGUUGUAAACCGCUUUCAGCCAUGACGCGGUAGUGGCAGAAGAAGCACCGGCUAACUACGUGCCAGCAGCCGCGGUAAUAC
rnacentral:rRNA from 1 species